UCAAAGUUUUAUUCUUGCUUGAAAUAUUUGUUUUGAAAUUGUUGUACAUGUAAGUUUUUGCGAGAUUGGUUUUUUAUUUCUUAAGGAUUAAACAUGAUGGAUUAUUAGAGGUUAUGCGCAGUAUAAAAUAUUAGUUUUUAAGGAGAUUUUGAACUGGCAAUUAGGUUAAUAGGAAAAGUUAUUAGUUAAAUGUUGAUUAAACAUGUGCCAGCAAUCGCGGUUAUACAUGGAACAUGAAUGAAUAUUAUUAGUUAUGGUAGUUUAUUUAAUAGUUGUUUGAAUUAAAUUUAAUUAUUUAUAAGGUGGAAUAGGUGAUUGAUUAUAUAAUUAUUUAUUUGGUGUUUUUUGAGGCUACGAAAUCUAAUUUUUAAACUAGGAUUAGAUACCCUAUUAUUUUAGAUGUAAAUUGUUAAAAGCUUAAGUAGUAUUAGAGUUAUGGUCUUGAAACUUAAAGAAUUUGGCGGUAUUUUAGUCUGUUUAGAGGAAUCUGUUUCGUAAUUGAUAUUCCGCGUUGGACCUUACUUGAUUUUGUUUAUAAAUAUGUAUAUCGCCGUUAAUUUUAGGAAUCUUUAAAGGGGUUUAAUUUUUAAAAUAGUUUUAUCUAGUGUUUCAGGUCAAGGUGCAGUUUAUAAUUAAGUGAGAAUGGAUUACAAUAUUUGAUGAUAUAUGAAUUAUUAAUUGUAAGUUUAGUAUGAAGGUGGAUUUAAUAGUAAUUUUUUGAAGAUUGUUAUUGUGAUUUUGGCUCUAAAAUAUGUACACAUCGCCCGUCACUCUCGUUAUUAAGAUGAGAUAAGUCGUAACAUAGUAGUUGUACUGGAAAGUGUAGCUGGAAUAAU
rnacentral:ncRNA from 1 species